rnacentral:lncRNA from 10 species
UUUGUGGCAAAGGGACUGGCCAUACCCUGCCAGAAAAGUUCAGGCAAGAGGAGGACUCUAAUGUUAGAUAAACCUCAAGUCCAAAAGUUGGAAAAAGAGAAAAACGUUCAGCUCACUUGUGAUCUGAUUUUGUCCCAUUUGCAGUUCUUUUACUGUUUUCCAUGAGUAUUUUUAAGAAUGCUCACAGAGGACCUCAUCAGGGACCGGAAACUCUAGCACUCAUUUCCUAACAUACCCUUGGAGCAUCUCACUAAGGACAUAUUUUUGCUUCUCAUGUUAAGAAAGCAAAAGGAUCAUUUUAACUGCUACUGAAUUUAAUCCUGUGUUUGAACAGACACAGAUCUCUGGUAAUUCAGAGCAACUGUCUUUUCCCCAGCUGAGCUUGCUGACUUACCCAGACAACUGAGAACACACGUGGGUGGGCUGAGGAGGGGAGAGGAGAAGUGCACCUGAACGAUCCAGGUUGGCCCUCUCCUCUAGCCACAGGCAUUGGCAAACUGCUGUUCCUGGUUGUCCAGACCCGUUUUCUGAAGGCAGCCUUCGCUUCUGUGAAUCGGUGGCAGCUCAAGACCUAGGAGCUGAGGACCCCCUGAUGGGGUAGCUUCUCCCACUACUGGACAGACCACCUGUUCAAAAGCCCCUUGUUAUUUUGGACCUCUUCAUCUAAACUGUCGUCUUCCAGACCUUAGGAUCACAGAUUCUGUCUCUAUAUGAUCACUCCUCAAGACUUCUCUCUCCCACGUGAAGCCAUUUUCCCCAGUUUCAUUUCUGGUCCACCACUGCACCUCGUGAACUUCUCAUUUUGCACAGGAGGUACUCAGAUAACUUCUUUUUGAGACAGGGUCUUGCUCUGUCACCCAGGCUGAGUGCAGUGGCACGAUCAUGGUUCAUUGCAGCCUUGACCUCCCAGGCUCAAGUGAUCUUCCCACCUCAGCCUUUCAAGUAGCUGGGACCACGGACAUGCUCCACCAUUCCAGGCUAAUUUUUUUAUUUUCUGUAGAGAUGGGGACUGGGGGCUGGGAGAGGUCUCCCUGUGUUGUCCAGGCUGGUCUCGAACUCCUGGACUCAAGCUAUCCUCCCUCCUUGGCCUCUUUAGCAGCCGGGAUUACAUGCAUGAGCCACCAGACCUGGCACUCAGAUAACUUUUACUUGCUAUCUGAAAAACUAGGUAGCUACAGCUGGAUCACCCAGACUCUAAUGAGGGGUCUGGAUUGAUUCAGGACAGGAUGGCUCUUAGGUACAGGCAGAGAAAAUCUCCUUAAGAUUUGAAAGAUGCCAACAAAACUUACUGUCCAGUCAAUGUCAAUCUGCCAUAAGUCUGGAAGGUCAUUUGCUGUGUCUUCUUUGGAGUUAAGCACUGCCCAUCAGAAAAGUCUACUUUUGAAUGAAUGACCACUUGGAAGAGUUAGCAUGCACAAUGUCUGGCACACAGUAAACCAUCAUGACCUCUCAGGACUUCCCAGGGGUACUGCCCUGAGGUUCCUCCUUUAAAAUGGCCAAGUGAUGAGUGAUGACUGAUUAGCUUGCCGAAUUCUUCACUUAAGAACUCAUCAGAGGAAAAAAAAGGAAAAAAGAAAAAAAAAAGAAAAUAGACUCGGAUAUUUUGAUCGGGCUGUGAGCUCAAGUAAGCAGCACAGUAAAACAGUAAGAACGUUUUUGACAAGAGACUUCAUUCAAACAUACGUGGAGUCCCCCUGCUGUCGGCCAAGAAUAAAAUAUGGGCCAGCUCGUACCUAAAUUUUAUUCUUCUUCCGUGGUCAUUCGGAAUGGGCCACAAGAAAGACCAGAAUUCUUCAUUUACUACACGCCUAAGGUUUUAUGGACUUUGUGUCACCUUUUGAAUCCCCCAUCCCCAGCCCAAGUUUCAUUUUACGCAUCAGUGAAAGCCUCAGCCAAGGGAAGAGGUUUUCUUCCCCGUGGAGUAGAAUGCAGGAAUUUAUCUGUCUUAAGGUCUUUAGUCAAGCUAAAUUAUGUUACCUGAGUAUGCUGCCAAAAUACAGGUCUGUUCUCUGUUUUGAAUCAUGAUAUCACUAGUAGUAACCUCAUGUCCAGACAUUUGAGAUUAAAAACACCAGUACAUUGCGUGUGUUUUACAAAAGACAGUUGCUAAGUAUGUUAUGCCUUCAAUAUAGCUUUCCUGACAACCUCAACAUUGACCUGCAACAAAAAGGCACGUGAGAAGCCCAGGGCCAACUCUCUAGAAUUAAGUAAUAUUCACACAUUAGCUGAAGGAUGACCCAGUCACCAACCUCCCCCAACAGUCUGCUAUGUGCAUCCUCUCUUCUUUCCUUUUUGGGUCUGCAGUGUCUACCGGUCACUCUCCUGGGUUAUACAACAUAGAUGGGCAUUAUCUCAGGCCAGCCCUUAUUAGGUGCACAUAUCACUCGGAGGGUCAGAGAAGCGCCGUAUCCAAUUAUCACAGGACUUUGCUUUAAUGUCUUCAUGGUCACGUUUCUAUUUGUGUGAUGAGCUAACUUUGAAUGAAGGUUGGUUGGUUGGUCAGUCAAGGCUCACUGCUUAAAGCUGACUGGCAUGUCUUUGACUCACCUUCUCACUCAAGGAACAAAUGGAUUCCUGGUCUUUCUGCAGUGAUGAAAAUAAUUGCUAAUAAUCGGCUGAGUUUACCCAAAGGAUGUUUAGACUGAUUAAUUUUAUUUUUCCAGUACUUCAAAAAACAUGCCUUGAAAAUCAUCUAUAACAGCAUUGUCCAAUAGAAAUAUAAUGCAAGCCACAUGUGUAAUUUAAAUUUUUUCUAGUAGCAAUAUUAAAAGGUAAAAG